UUCUGCAUUAUCACGUAGCUUAUGGUCUC
rnacentral:piRNA from 1 species